rnacentral:rRNA from 1 species
GACGAACGCUGGCGGCGUGCCUAAUACAUGCAAGUUGAGCGCUGAAGGUUGGUACUUGUACCCACUGGAUGAGCAGCGAACGGGUGAGUAACGCGUGGGGAAUCUGCCUUUGAGCGGGGGACAACAUUUGGAAACGAAUGCUAAUACCGCAUAAAAACUUUAAACACAAGUUUUAAGUUUGAAAGAUGCAAUUGCAUCACUCAAAGAUGAUCCCGCGUUGUAUUAGCUAGUUGGUGAGGUAAAGGCUCACCAAGGCGAUGAUACAUAGCCGACCUGAGAGGGUGAACGGCCAAAAUGGGACUGAGACACGGCCCAAACUCCUACGGGAGGCAGCAGGAGGGAAUCUUCGGCAAUGGACGAAAGGCUGACCGAGCAACGCCGCGUGAGUGAAGAAGGGUGUCGGAUCGUAAAACUCUGUUGGUAGAGAAGAACGUUGGUGAGAGUGGAAAGCUCAUCAAGUGACGGUAACUACCCAGAAAGGGACGGCUAACUACGUG